rnacentral:hammerhead_ribozyme from 1 species
AUCCAUUUGACGAGUCCCAAAUAAAACGAAACGCGCGUCCUGGAU